AGACAGCAGUCGCCGCGGUAAUACGGAGGGAGCUAGCGUUAUUCGGAAUUACUGGGCGUAAAGCGCACGUAGGCGGCUUUGUAAGUUAGAGGUGAAAGCCCAGAGCUCAACUCCGGAAUUGCCUUUAAGACUGCAUCGCUUGAAUCCAGGAGAGGUGAGUGGAAUUCCGAGUGUAGAGGUGAAAUUCGUAGAUAUUCGGAAGAACACCAGUGGCGAAGGCGGCUCACUGGACUGGUAUUGACGCUGAGGUGCGAAAGCGUGGGGAGCAAACAGGAUUAGAGACCCGCGUAGUCCCUGUCUCUUAUAC
rnacentral:rRNA from 1 species